GGGCCCUGUCGUGCUUCACGGCUGGCCUCAAAUGACUGAGUGCACCCUGCUGUUGCAGCGUCUUCAGUGUGAUAAGCAUCUUCACUGGAACAAGCUCCCUUGUGGACACGCUCGCUUUGUGGGCUCUGUGCUUGUGAACCGUCCGCGGUGCGGACAACAUGUUGACAAUUUGACCUCAAAUCGGGUGGGACUACCCGCUGAACUUAAGCAUAUCAAUAAGCGGAGGAAAAGAAACUAACAAGGAUUCCCCUAGUAACGGCGAGUGAAGAGGGAAAAGCUCAAAUUUUGAAUCUGGCUCCUUUGGUGCCCGAGUUGUAAUCUAGAGAAGUGUUUUCUGCCUCGGACCACGCAUAAAUUCCCUGGAAUGGGGUGUCAUAGAGGGUGAGAAUCCCGUUUGUGGUGUGGACUGCCUUGGCUCUGUGAUACACUCUCAACGAGUCGAGUUGUUUGGGAAUGCAGCUCAAAAUGGGUGGUAAAUUCCAUCUAAAGCUAAAUAUUGGCGAGAGACCGAUAGCGAACAAGUACCGUGAGGGAAAGAUGAAAAGCACUUUGGAAAGAGAGUGAAACAGUACGUGAAAUUGUUGAAAGGGAAGCGUUUGAAGUCAGUCGCAUCCGUCGGAUUCAACCGUGCUUCUGCUCGGCUUACUUUCCGUCGUAUGGGUCAGCGUCAAUUUCGACCGAGGGAGAAAGGCGGAGGGAAUGUGGCUGUCUUCGGGCAGUGUUAUAGCCCUCUGUUGUAUGUCUCGGUUGGGAUUGAGGAUCGCAGCACGCCUUUUGGCCGGGGUUCGCACCCUCGG
rnacentral:rRNA from 1 species